AGAUGAGGUAAUUUUGGACUAACCAAACUUUAAAUGUAGAGACUAGAGAGUACGUACAAGGAAUGCAGAGACACGUGUUUAUCGGCUGGUGUCUGUGCGCUCUAAGGCAGUUGGUGGUAGGCUGUACAGUGUAGAGUGAAGCUUGAAGCUUUCAGUGGUUGCAAAAAUGGCGACGACUAGUGCUUCUCUCCUCCAUCUUCCUUCCCCAUCUUUCUUUCCUCUUCUCUCUUCCAAAACCAGUCAUUCCUUACCCUCUCCUCUGUCUCAACAAAACCCAUAAUCGCCAAACUCCUCCUCACCGUCUGAUGAUCAUGUAUGGCAAAUGGGUUUUCAAUUCUCUGACUGUACGGUCCGAAUCCAAGCCCAGCAUCAACAGAGAGCCUAUGCUUCUUCCGUACAAUGUUCUUAUUACCGUUUCAACCAAAGAAGAGCUGGUUCUGCUUCUGUAUUGAAUCCAACAAGUCUUUUUGUUCCAAGGAGGAUUUAUUUUUCUGAAGUAAAGAUAAGCAGAAGCGUUUCUAGCAGUCAAGAACCAGUUAAAAAGGACAUUUCAAACAUGGGGUUUCAGACAACAUCGAUACCGGACAUUAUGUUUGCUCUAGUAGUGAUCCUAGCCUGGACAUUCACAAGGAAAGGAAAUAUCUUAUGCUUGCGGUUCGAGAGCUGGUAUCUGGAGAUCAAUGUGAAGGAAGAUUUGUAUUUGGCAGGGAUAGCAAGAAGCCAAAGGAGUCUGGUAAUGUCGACAGAUUCACAAGAGAUGAAAUGAAUCCCAAGAGCUGGCUUCAAAGUCUGAUGGUGACGGCAGGGCACUCUCCUCCUAAAUACAAAGCAAAGCACCUAAAAACAAAUGAGUUUACAGUGCGGGUAGAGUUCAAGGGUAUGCAAUUUGUUGGAAAACCUAAGAAAAACAUGCAGCUUGCUGAUAGGGAUGCUGCUGUAGAGGCAUUGGCAUGGUUAACUCAUACUUCUUAUGACAGUCGAGAUGAAGAUGACAUGUCCCGACCUGAUGUGGCUGACAACAUGCUUAUACUUCUUGGGAAAUGUAGAAGAUCAAAACGUCAGUCCGGUUGAUGAUUGAUGAUGGAAAAUGGUAAGAGAUUGACAUAUAAGUUCUCGGCAUCCUUGUUUAGGAUUUCUGCACUGGUGACUGCAGAAUGCAUCAUUUUGUAAAAUUUGGCGGCUGGAGGGUGCAGGGAAGUUUUCUAACCGAGUAAAUAUACUCAUUCAGUAACCUUCCUUGGGUGCAUAGAAUAACAGCUUACAAGUUCAACUAUGAUUGCAUUAUUUUGCCAUAGCAGUGAGAAGGUUAUAACGGUGAAUAACUUCUCAUCAAAGUUUUGACCCCUAGUUCUGCAACUUAUCAUAACUUAGCACACAGGAAGUGUAGGUUCAAAAGUUUCCAACAAUACAGGGUUUCAUCUAUCUCUAGUUGAAACUAGUUCAGGUGAGCAAAAAGAUGGAGAGUGCAAUGGCUUGACCAAGCAAUCUCCCUCAGAAAAGAAACUGAAUUACAUUCGAUAGUUUAGCGAACAAAUUUAUACUUUUUUUUAAUCACAUAAACUCAUUUUUUAUUCCUUCUGAAGUUAUAUAAAAUUACCCUUGUAAUAGUUUUUUUUAUAACUGUGAUUAGAAAAAAUAUGUAUUAUAUAUAUAUAUAUAUACACAUAUAAAUAUAAAUAUAUAUAUAUAUAUACACAUAUAAAUAUAUAUAUAUAUAUAUACACAUAUAAAUAUAUAUAUAUAUAUAUAUAUAUUUAUAUAUUUUAGUUAAAUAAAAAAAAAAUAGUAUCGAAAGGAAAAACAAAACUGAAACUACAGCUAAAUAUUUAGUCAGCUAUAAUUAAUUAUUUCAGUAUAAUGAUUGCCUUUGAAAUGAACUUAAGAUAUUCGUUCUAAAAUGUAUAUUGGGAUGGAGAUAAUAAUUCAAUAAUUGAAAUCAUCCUAUUUCCCUUCCCAUCUAUCUUAUGCGAGAUACAAUCAAAUGUAAUUUUUUUGCAGUUUCCUACGUUCUUGCUUCAACACUGGAUUCAUAAACUCAAAAUCUGCUACCACAGAUUAUUGUUUCUCCAUUUUCUAUUUUUCUUUUUCUUUUAAAUUUUUUUGAUCAAUUUUCUUUUUAAUUUUUUGGUUCUGUGUUCUGAAGGUUGACUAUGAGCAAGAAAAAAGGUAUUGUGUCAAGGAUGGGCUAUCUGACUGGGGAGUUCAAGGUUGAAACCUACUUGAUAGGUGACGAUUUGUGGGACACAGGGGAAUCCAUGGAAGAACCUCCAAAACCAGUUGUAGAUAGUGGUGAUGAAGCUGAAUUCAAAGCUUGGGAUGAAGAAGCCUGAUCCGCUCUCCAUGCCAUCCAGAUGUCUUGUGGUUCAGAUGCUUUUUCUGUGAGGCCAGAGACUUUAAUUCUACUAAAAUUGCUUGGGAUACUUUGGUUGAGACAAGAAAAUGUUGCACAAUGAUUAAGCCGAUUGCCUCUUCAUCUACAUACAUCCAAAGGUCCAAUGAAUCAUAUGAUACGAAUAAUUAGGCCAAAUCAUUUGGUAGUCACAUUCUGGGAAAAUAAGAAGCUUCCAACUGAAGGGAAGAGAGUUUUCAUUAAAACUAUUGGGGAGAAUCAAGAAUAAAGUAGUUCUUCAAUUUGUGCGUGCAAUAGAUCAUACAUGAACGAACAACCGCAUUCAAUCUCAAAAUAAUUUCUAACUUUCUCUCUAGUUGGAAUAGAAAUCCCCAUGAAUAAUUAAGGGUCAAGGGUGUAACACAUUUCUUAAUUUUAACAAUUGCCAUACAUUCAGGUCCAAAACUAGAGCUACUAAAUUUACCAAUUCCCAUACAUAUAAAAUCACAUUUUCAGUAGAAAGAGAAGAAACACUUGAGAUUGAGUUUCCUUCACUGCACCUGAUUGUGAGCCUAGCCUACCAUGUCUAGCUACUCUAGCCUCUCAACAUGAAAGAAAUGUCUCUCAAUCCUCAUAAAUUCAACACUUGAUACCUUUUGCAAAUAAAUCUCAUUUAACUGAUUCUUGUAUAGAAUUAUGGCCCAAAUUCUUGCAUUCUAUACUUUGUACAUGCAUAUUCGAUUUCAAAGACCCUGAUACGCUUUUGUUCAUAUAUUAUAUCAGUACCUUCAGUUACAUUGUGCUUACUUUAAUUUAACAACUCUAAUAUAAUUCAGUUGUUGCACUACUAAAUCAUAGCCAUGAUUGUUAUUAUUAGCAUUCUAUAAUAUUUAAUGCACAUGCAUAUGUUCAGGUUGUUGCCGUGAAGAUGUUUCAUGGAACAAAAGAAGGUGGGAUUUCUGGAUAUCUCAAAGCGUUUACGAGGGAGAUUCGUGCAUUAACACACAUAUAAGACAUUGAAACAUUGUGAAGCUACAUGAGUUCUGUAUACAUCCACAUCAUUCACUUUUGGUUUUAAAGGGGUGAAAGUUGUGAACUUUUGGACUUUUUGUUUGCAGGAAUAUUUGGCUAACAGUGAAGUGGCUCCAGGUUAGUUUUAUCUUAGUCAUUAAUUUUUUUAAGGGUUAUAUAUAAUUCAAUUUUAUUUCCACUAGCACGAGAGCUUUGCACUCUUGUUUAUCAAAUUUAAAAUAUUAUAUUUAUGGGUACCCUCGAUUAUUCCUUGAUAUAGAAGAAAAUUUCCAUGCUCUUCAUAACUUCAGAUGCCAUAUCACUCAUUUCCUCCACAACUAAUACGGUGUCGAUGUUCCUUGGUAUCCUUAUUAUAUCGCGUUACGCUGAACAACAUUUCCUAAAAUCUUUGCCUAAGAAGAUGAUAAUAGGUCUUUCAACACUUUUUUCUAUCGGUUGCAACAAUGAUGACAAAUUAGUUUUUAGUGCUUCAUUAAUUUUUCAUUAUGCUUCAUCAAAAGUCAAGGUUUGUUAUACUAGUCAUUUUGGUGGUAGCUAGUAUAAAUUCCGGUUAGAUUAUUUGUAUUGAUGCAAUUUCUUUUUCUCAUUGAAAUUUACAUUUUUUAUCUAUGGAUUUCGUAAUUUUUAGAUAAAAGUGGAAAUUUUGCUAUAGGCAAGAUAUAUACACCUACACGUCCCAAGGGGACAAAGUCCCUAAAUCUAAAUCAAGACUUUUGAAGCAUAUUAUUGACUUGUAAUUUUGUAUUUUUUCUUGGAAAAUGAGCUGAUGAGUUAUUAUAGUUAUUAUACCAGGAACAAAUAAUUAAGGGUGUGAAAAAAUUUACAAAAAUUGUACACACAUUCUCUCUCCCUCUCUCCCUCUCUCUCUCUCUCUCUCUCUCCCUCCCUCUCUCAAAAGAGAUAAUAAUAGUAAAAAUAAAAUGAAAAUAAAAAUAAAUUAUUUAAAAAAUUAAAAUAAAUAAAAAUAAAAAAUAAAAAGAAUAAGAAAUAAAACCAUACACACACAGACGUCCUAAGACCCAAUUGAGAACACAAAAAAGAAUUGGGUCAAGCCUGCGUGAGCUCGAGCCGAAGUCCUUUCAUUAAGGGGAAUUUGGCCCAAUACCCCCAUAGGAUCGAGCUUCAUGAAUUUUGCCCCCUCAAUUCAUUUCUUUUUUGAUCUACCCCUCCAAUCUUUUAAAAUCCCAAAAUAUCCUUAUGUGUUUUUUUUUUUAUAUGUUUUUUUCUUUCCUUUCUUCGACUUUUCCCCUCCAUCUCUUUAUCCAUAACCAGACCUUAGGAGCCCUCUGUUUCCUUUCAUGAAUCGGUCGGAUUGUAAGCGUGGAGACUGCGCGUUUUGAAGGAGAUGGUGAAGAGGCGACUCAGAGAGAAAACUGCAGGAUUUUAGAGAGCCCUAGGAGUAGAAGCAGAAGCAACAGGCAUUUCUUGCUGAGAGAUAUGUAUGAUGAUAUGAUGCUGGAUGGAGUACAGCCAACUAGGGAUACAUUCCAUUCUGUCAUCAAUUAGUGGAAAGGUGGAUAAGCAAAAUGCUCAUUUCUUUGGUGUUACGAUCAACGAGCAACAAGCCGAGUGUGGUAUUGUAGUAAGAGUUACUUCAAAUGCACAAAGCAAAUUUAAGUUACUUUAUUUCGAGCAAGAUGUGAAUGGCGGUUAUGGUUUGGCCCUACAGAUGGAUAAUUGAUCCUCCUCUGGAGGUCAAUGUACCAUCAAAACGCACACCAUGGCCUGAUGCCCCUCCUGAACUCCCUACCAAUGAAAAUGUAGUGUUGGGCAUCCAAGAGCAUGCUGUAAGGCAUCCUACAAAGACCCGCACAUCUAGAUGAAAGAGACGAAGCAAGAGAAAGCAUGACACGAGAACAGUGGACACACAGGUUGCUUCAAAGCAUUCUGAACAAAUUUGAAAAUCUUAGCAUGAAGACGGCUAGAGAUGCAUGCUGCUGUGUGAAUUUUAGGCAUCAUUCUUUAGCAUCAUAAAAAAAUUUGAAUUGCAAAGGCUUAUUAGCACAGAGGCAGAUGGCCUAACCUGGUAUAUGUGAAAAGAAUCCUUCACGCUGGGCCAGUUGAUAACAGGCAUUGGAGUUUGAAUUUUCACUUAAUUUUUCACAAAUUUUUUCUUUCUUUUAUAUAUUUUUGUUUGGGAUAUCAGGAUUCUGGUUCAGCAUGAGGUAUGCCAGCAACGUCUUGCCGUGUUUGCUACCUUGUAGGACUUUGUAUCCAACAUGUUUCGAAUCUUAUACAUAAUCUUGGAA